GAUUGAACGCUGGCGGCAUGCCUUACACAUGCAAGUCGAACGGCAGCAUGAUCUAGCUUGCUAGAUUGAUGGCGAGUGGCGAAUGGGUGAGUAAUACAUCGGAACGUGCCCUGUAGUGGGGGAUAACUAGUCGAAAGAUUAGCUAAUACCGCAUACGACCUGAGGGUGAAAGUGGGGGACCGCAAGGCCUCAUGCUAUAGGAGCGGCCGAUGUCUGAUUAGCUAGUUGGUGAGGUAAAGGCUCACCAAGGCGACGAUCAGUAGCUGGUCUGAGAGGACGAUCAGCCACACUGGGACUGAGACACGGCCCAGACUCCUACGGGAGGCAGCAGUGGGGAAUUUUGGACAAUGGGCGAAAGCCUGAUCCAGCAAUGCCGCGUGUGUGAAGAAGGCCUUCGGGUUGUAAAGCACUUUUGUCCGGAAAGAAAUGGCUCUGGUUAAUACCUGGGGUCGAUGACGGUACCGGAAGAAUAAGGACCGGCUAACUACGUG
rnacentral:rRNA from 1 species